UUCCGGUUGAUCCUGCCGGACCCGACUGCUAUUAGAGUGGGACUAGGCCAUGCGAGUCAACAUAGCAAUAUGUGGCAUACGGCUCAGUAACACGUAGUCAACAUGCCCAGGGGACGUGGAUAACCUCGGGAAACUGAGGAUAAACCGCGAUAAGUCACUACUUCUGGAAUGGGUAAUGACUCAAAUCUACAUGGCCCCUGGAUUGGACUGCGGCCGAUCAGGCUGUUGGUGAGGUAAUGGCCCACCAAACCUGUAACCGGUACGGGCUCUGAGAGGAGGAGCCCGGAGAUGGGCACUGAGACAAGGGCCCAGGCCCUAUGGGGCGCAGCAGGCGCGAAACCUCUGCAAUAGGCGAAAGCCUGACAGGGUUACUCUGGGUGAUUUCCGUUAAGGAGAUCUUUUGGCACCUCUAAAAAUGGUGCAGAAUAAGGGGUGGGCAAGUCUGGUGUCAGCCGCCGCGGUAAUACCAGCACCCCGAGUGGUCGGGACGUUUAUUGGGCCUAAAGCAUCCGUAGCCGGUUCUACAAGUCUUCCGUUAAAUCCACCUGCUUAACAGAUGGGCUGCGGAAGAUACUAUAGAGCUAGGAGGCGGGAGAGGCAAGCGGUACUCGAUGGGUAGGGGUAAAAUCCGUUGAUCCAUUGAAGACCACCAGUGGCGAAGGCGGCUUGCCAGAACGCGCUCGACGGUGAGGGAUGAAAGCUGGGGGAGCAAACCGGAUUAGAUACCCGGGUAGUCCCAGCUGUAAACGAUGCAGACUCGGUGAUGAGUUGGCUUCUUGCCAACUCAGUGCCGCAGGGAAGCCGUUAAGUUUGCCGCCUGGCUCUUACGGUCGCAAGACUGAAACUUAAAGGAAUUGGCGGGGGAGCA
rnacentral:rRNA from 1 species